AUUGAACGCUGGCGGCAGGCUUAACACAUGCAAGUCGAGCGGGGUGAUGGUGCUUGCACUAUCACUUAGCGGCGGACGGGUGAGUAAUGCUUAGGAAUCUGCCUAUUAGUGGGGGACAACAUCUCGAAAGGGAUGCUAAUACCGCAUACGUCCUACGGGAGAAAGCAGGGGAUCACUUGUGACCUUGCGCUAAUAGAUGAGCCUAAGUCGGAUUAGCUAGUUGGAGGGGUAAAGGCCUACCAAGGCGACUAUCUGUAGCGGGUCUGAGAGGAUGGUCCGCCACGCUGGGACUGAGACACGGCCCAGACUCCUACGGGAGGCAGCAGUGGGGAAUAUUGGACAAUGGGGGGAACCCUGAGCCAGCCAUGCCGCGUGUGUGAAGAAGGCCUUAUGGUUGUAAAGCACUUUAAGCGAGGAGGAGGCUCUUUUGGUUAAUACCCAAGAUGAGUGGACGUUACUCGCAGAAUAAGCACCGGCUAACUCUGUGCCAGCAGCCGCCGUAA
rnacentral:rRNA from 1 species